GUAGGGAAUAUUGUGCAAUGGUCGGAAGACUGACCCAGCCAUGUCGCGUGCAGGAAGACGGCCCUCUGGGUUGUAAACUGCUUUUAUCUGGGAAGAAAAAGGCCAUGUGUGGCAAAUUGCCGGUACCAGAUGAAUAAGCACCGGCUAACUCCGUGCCAGCAGCCGCGGUAAUACGGAGGGUGCGAGCGUUGUCCGGAUUUAUUGGGUUUAAAGGGUGCGUAGGCGGCUGAUUAAGUCAGCGGUGAAAGACUUCGGCUUAACCGGAGCAGUGCCGUUGAUACUGGUUGGCUUGAGUGUCGGAGGGGUACAUGGAAUUGAUGGUGUAGCGGUGAAAUGCAUAGAUACCAUCAGGAACACCGAUAGCGAAGGCAUUGUACUGGCCGACAACUGACGCUGAUGCACGAAAGUGUGGGGAUCGAACAGGAUUAGAUACCCGUGUAGUCC
rnacentral:rRNA from 1 species